GAUGAACGCUGGCGGCGUGCCUAAUACAUGCAAGUCGAGCGAACGGACGAGAAGCUUGCUUCUCUGAUGUUAGCGGCGGACGGGUGAGUAACACGUGGAUAACCUACCUAUAAGACUGGGAUAACUUCGGGAAACCGGAGCUAAUACCGGAUAAUAUUUUGAACCGCAUGGUUCAAAAGGGAAAGACGGUCUUGCUGUCACUUAUAGAUGGAUCCGCGCUGCAUUAGCUAGUUGGUAAGGUAACGGCUUACCAAGGCAACGAUGCAUAGCCGACCUGAGAGGGUGAUCGGCCACACUGGAACUGAGACACGGUCCAGACUCCUACGGGAGGCAGCAGUAGGGAAUCUUCCGCACUGGGCGAAAGCCUGACGGAGCAACGCCGCGUGAGUGAUGAAGGUCUUCGGAUCGUAAAACUCUGUUAUUAGGGAAGAACAUAUGUGUAAGUAACUGUGCACAUCUUGACGGUACCUAAUCAGAAAGCCACGGCUAACUACGUG
rnacentral:rRNA from 1 species